rnacentral:rRNA from 1 species
AACGAACGCUGGCGGCAUGCCUAACACAUGCAAGUCGAACGAUACCUUCGGGUCUAGUGGCGCACGGGUGCGUAACGCGUGGGAACCUGCCCUUAGGUUCGGAAUAACUCCCCGAAAGGGGUGCUAAUACCGGAUAAUGUCUUCGGACCAAAGAUUUAUCGCCUUUGGAUGGGCCCGCGUUGGAUUAGCUAGUUGGUAGGGUAAAAGCCUACCAAGGCGACGAUCCAUAGCUGGUCUGAGAGGAUGAUCAGCCACACUGGGACUGAGACACGGCCCAGACUCCUACGGGAGGCAGCAGUGGGGAAUAUUGGACAAUGGGCGAAAGCCUGAUCCAGCAAUGCCGCGUGAGUGAUGAAGGCCUUAGGGUUGUAAAGCUCUUUUACCCGGGAUGAUAAUGACAGUACCGGGAGAAUAAGCUCCGGCUAACUCCGUG